GGAAAGAUGGCAGAGAGGCUGAAUGCACCGCACUCGAAAUGCGGCAGACCCUUUGGGUCUCGGGGGUUCAAAUCCCCCUCUUUCCGCCA
rnacentral:tRNA from 1 species